AAGAUUAAGCCAUGCAUGUCUCAGUGCAAGCCGAAUUAAGGUGAAACCGCGAAAAGCUCAUUAAAUCAGCUAUAAUUUAAUUGAUGGUACAAUCACUGUUACUUGGAUAACUGUGGCAAUUCUAGAGCUAAUACAUGCAAAAUGAGUUCCGACCGGCGGAACGAAUGCUUUUAUUAGAACAAAACCAAUCGAUUCUGAAUAACUUUAAGCUGAUCGCACGGUCACGCACCGGCGACGCAUCUUUCAAAUGUCUGACUUAUCAACUUUCGAUGGUAGGCUACGCGCCUACCAUGGUGAUAACGGGUGACGGGGAAUCAGGGUUCGAUUCCGGAGAGGGAGCCUGAGAAACGGCUACCACAUCCAAGGAAGGCAGCAGGCGCGCAAAUUACCCACUCCCGGCACGGGGAGGUAGUGACGAAAAAUAACGAUGCAGGACUCAUUCCGAGGCUCUGCAAUCGGAAUGAGCACACUCUAAAUCAUUUAACGAGUAUCCAUUGGAGG
rnacentral:rRNA from 1 species